UACGAGGGGUGCGAGCGUUGCUCGGAAUUAUUGGGCGUAAAGGGUAGGUAGGUUGUCUUAUUUGUCUGGGGUGAAAGCCUUGAGCUUAACUCAAGAAGUGCCCCGGAAACGGUAAGACUAGAGUCUUGGAGAGGCUAGGGGAAUUCCCGGUGUAGCGGUGAAAUGCGUAGAGAUCGGGAGGAACACCAGAGGCGAAGGCGCCUAGCUGGACAAGCACUGACACUCAACUACGAAAGCGUGGGGAGCAAACAGG
rnacentral:rRNA from 1 species